AUACGGAGGGGGCUAGCGUUGUUCGGAUUUACUGGGCGUAAAGCGCGCGUAGGCGGUAUAUCAAGUUAGGCGUGAAAGCCCCGGGCUCAACCCGGGAACUGCGCUUAUUACUGAUAAACUAGAGUCCGGGAGAGGGUGGCGGAAUUCCCAGUGUAGAGGUGAAAUUCGUAGAUAUUGGGAAGAACACCAGUUGCGAAGGCGGCCACCUGGACCGGUACUGACGCUGAGGUGCGAAAGCGUGGGGAGCAAACAGGAUUAGAAACCCCAGUAGUCC
rnacentral:rRNA from 1 species